rnacentral:rRNA from 1 species
AGUGAACGCUGGCGGCGUGCUUAACACAUGCAAGUCGAACGAGAACGGAUUGUAGCUUGCUAUAAUUGUCAGCUAAGUGGCGCACGGGUGAGUAAUGUAUAGGUAAUAUGCCUCUUACUAAGGGAUAACAAAUGGAAACGUUUGCUAAUACCUUAUACUCCUUAUUAACAGAAGUUAAUAAGGGAAAGAUUUAUUGGUAAGAGAUUAGCCUGUAUUGUAUCAGUUAGUUGGUGGGGUAAUGGCCUAUCAAGACUAUGACACAUAACUGGUUUGAGAGGAUGAUCAGUCACACUGGAACUGAGACACGGUCCAGACUCCUACGGGAGGCAGCAGUGGGGAAUAUUGCACAAUGGACGAAAGUCUGAUGCAGCAACGCCGCGUGGAGGAUGACACAUUUCGGUGCGUAAACUCCUUUUAUAUGAGAAGAUAAUGACGGUAUUAUAUGAAUAAGCACCGGCUAACUCCGUGCCAGCCGCCGCCGUAAUAC